UUUUUUUUUUUUUUUUUUUUUUUUUUUUUUUUUUUUUUUUUUUUUUUUUUUUUUUUUUUUUUUUUUUUUUUUUUUUUUUUUUUUUUUUUUUUUUUUUUUUUUUUUUUUUUUUUUUUUUUUUUUUUUUUUUUUUUUUUUUUUUUUUUUUUUUUUUUUUUUUUUUUUUUUUUUUUUUUUUUUUUUUUUUUUUUUUUUUUUUUUUUUUUUUUUUUUUUUUUUUUUUUUUUUUUUUUUUUUUUUUUUUUUUUUUUUUUUUUUUUUUUUUUUUUUUUUUUUUUUUUUUUUUUUUUUUUUUUUUUUUUUUUUUUUUUUUUUUUUUUUUUUUUUUUUUUUUUUUUUUUUUUUUUUUUUUUUUUUUUUUUUUUUUUUUUUUUUUUUUUUUUUUUUUUUUUUUUUUUUUUUUUUUUUUUUUUUUUUUUUUUUUUUUUUUUUUUUUUUUUUUUUUUUUUUUUUUUUUUUUUUUUUUUUUUUUUUUUUUUUUUUUUUUUUUUUUUUUUUUUUUUUUUUUUUUUUUUUUUUUUUUUUUUUUUUUUUUUUUUUUUUUUUUUUUUUUUUUUUUUUUUUUUUUUUUUUUUUUUUUUUUUUUUUUUUUUUUUUUUUUUUUUUUUUUUUUUUUUUUUUUUUUUUUUUUUUUUUUUUUUUUUUUUUUUUUUUUUUUUUUUUUUUUUUUUUUUUUUUUUUUUUUUUUUUUUUUUUUUUUUUUUUUUUUUUUUUUUUUUUUUUUUUUUUUUUUUUUUUUUUUUUUUUUUUUUUUUUUUUUUUUUUUUUUUUUUUUUUUUUUUUUUUUUUUUUUUUUUUUUUUUUUUUUUUUUUUUUUUUUUUUUUUUUUUUUUUUUUUUUUUUUUUUUUUUUUUUUUUUUUUUUUUUUUUUUUUUUUUUUUUUUUUUUUUUUUUUUUUUUUUUUUUUUUUUUUUUUUUUUUUUUUUUUUUUUUUUUUUUUUUUUUUUUUUUUUUUUUUUUUUUUUUUUUUUUUUUUUUUUUUUUUUUUUUUUUUUUUUUUUUUUUUUUUUUUUUUUUUUUUUUUUUUUUUUUUUUUUUUUUUUUUUUUUUUUUUUUUUUUUUUUUUUUUUUUUUUUUUUUUUUUUUUUUUUUUUUUUUUUUUUUUUUUUUUUUUUUUUUUUUUUUUUUUUUUUUUUUUUUUUUUUUUUUUUUUUUUUUUUUUUUUUUUUUUUUUUUUUUUUUUUUUUUUUUUUUUUUUUUUUUUUUUUUUUUUUUUUUUUUUUUUUUUUUUUUUUUUGUCUGUGUGCACUGAAUUUAUUUAAUACACGAGUUUCACAAUUUGAGUUGAAUUACUGA
rnacentral:lncRNA from 12 species